AAAAAAAUAGGGCUGCCCGAAUCACGGGCAGCCCUGCUUUUUUGGAUCAUGCAAGAUGAAACAAAAAAGUAAAGGGAGAGGAGAAACCGGAGGAAGAACUUAUGGGGAUGUAAGUCUUCUCCGUUU
rfam:Halobacillus sp. BAB-2008 contig78, whole genome shotgun sequence.